AAAUUGAAGAGUUUGAUCAUGGCUCAGAUUGAACGCUGGCGGCAGGCCUAACACAUGCAAGUCGAACGGUAACAGGAAGCAGCUUGCUGCUUCGCUGACGAGUGGCGGACGGGUGAGUAAUGUCUGGGAAACUGCCUGAUGGAGAGGGAUAACUACUGGAAACGGUAGCU
rnacentral:rRNA from 1 species